GGAAAGGUGCAAGAGCGGUUGAAUUGGCACGCCUGGAAAGUGUGUGACCGUCAAAAGCGGUCCGUGGGUUCGAAUCCCACCCUUUCCGCAA
rnacentral:tRNA from 1 species